CCUACGGGUGGCAGCAGUGAGGAAUAUUGGUCAAUGGGCGUGAGCCUGAACCAGCCAAGUCGCGUGAGGGAUGAAGGUCCUAUGGAUUGUAAACCUCUUUUAUCAGGGAAUAAAGAGCGGGACGUGUCCCGUAUUGUAUGUACCUUAUGAACAAGCAUCGGCUAACUCCGUGCCAGCAGCCGCGGUAAUACGGAGGAUCCGAGCGUUAUCCGGAUUUAUUGGGUUUAACGGGUGCGUAGGCGGCCUGUUAAGUCAGCGGGGAAAGUUUGUGGCUCAACCACAGAAUGGCGGUUGAAACUGGGAUGCUGGAGUGGGUUUGAGGCAGGCGGAAUGCGUGGUGUAGCGGUGAAAUGCAUAGAUAUCACGCAGAACCCCGAUUGCGAAGGCAGCCUACCAAGGCAUGACUGACGCUGAUGCACGAAAGCGUGGGGAUCAAACAGGAUUAGAUACCCCAGUAGUC
rnacentral:rRNA from 1 species